rnacentral:rRNA from 1 species
AACGCGAAGAACCUUACCUGGGCUUGAACCGCACAGGACCAGCUCCAGAAAUGGGGCCUUCCCGCAAGGGACCUGUGUAGAGGUGCUGCAUGGCUGUCGUCAGCUCGUGCCGUGAGGUGUUGGGUUAAGUCCCGCAACGAGCGCAACCCUUACUCAUAGUUGCUACCCGCAAGGGAGAACUCUAUGAGGACUGCUCCGGAUAACGGAGAGGAAGGUGGGGAUGAGGUCAAGUCAGCAUGGCCUUUAUGUCCAGGGCUACACACGUGUUACAAUGCGCGCCACAAAGCGUUGCAAACCCGCGAGGGGGAGCUAAUCGCAAAAAAGCGCGCUCAGUUCGGAUUGCAGUCUGCAACUCGACUGCAUGAAGCCGGAAUCGCUAGUAAUGGCGCAUCAGAACGGCGCCGUGAAUACGUUCCCGGGCCUUGUA